AGUGGCGAACGGGCGAGUAUACUUUGCUAACGUACCCCAAGGUCGGGGAUAGCGGCUGGAAACGGCCGGUAAUACCCGAUGACCCCCGCGGGCCGCAUGGCCUGCGGGGCAAAGGCUUGCUUGCCUUGGGAUCGGGCAAAGCGCUAUCAGAUUGUUGGUGAGGUAACGGCUCACCAGGGCAAAGACCGGCUAGCGGGUGUGAGAGCAUGACCCGCCCGCAUCGGGACUGAGACACUGCCCGGACUCCUACGGAAGGCUGCAGUAACGAAUCUUCCGCAAUGCGCGAAAGCGUGACGGAGCAAUGCCGCGUGAAAGGAUGAAGCCCCUCGGGGUGUAAACUUCUGUCAGGGGUUAGGAAUUCUGACCAAACCCAAAGGGAAGGACCGGCUAACUUCGUGCCAGCAGCCCGCGGGUAAGACCGAAGGGGUCCAAGCCGUUACUCGGAAUCCACUGGGGCUUAAAGCGUGCGCCAGCGGGCACAGUAAGUACCAUUGUGAAAUACCACCCGCUCAACGGGUGCGAAGGCAAGGGGUAAAACGCCAGGCCAUUGAGCACGGGUAGAGGUUGCCAGGACAGGUAGGUGUAGCGGUGAAAUGCGUAGAUAUCUACAAGAACACCAAAGACGAAGGUAGGCAACUGGGCCGGUUCUGACGCUCAGGCACGAAAGCGCUGGGGAGCAAACAAGGAUUAGAUACCACUGGUAGUCCACGCACGUACACGAUGUGCACUAGAUUCGAGAGGCUCUGACGCCAUUCAGGUCGAAGCAAAAGUGUUAAGUGCACCGCCUGGGGAGUACAGGUCGCAAGGCUAAAACUCAAAGGAAUUGACAGGGGCUCACACAAGCGGUGGAGCAUGUGGCUUAAUUCGAAGCAACGCGAAGAACCUUAUCCUGGGUUUGACAUGCACGGAUACCCUCGCCGAAAGGCGAGUAAGUUGCCCAUUCGGGUGAAACGUGCACAGGUGCUGCAUGGCUGUCGUCAGCAUCGUGCUGUGAAGUGUUGGUUUAAGUCCCUUAACGAGCGAAACCCCUGUCGCUAGUUGCUAACAGGUCUCCGGACGCUGAGGACUCUAGCGAGACUGCCGGUGUCAAACCGGAGGAAGGCGGGGAUGACGUCAAGUCCUCAUGGCCUUUAUGCCCAGGGCUGCACACGUGCUACAAUGGCGUGAACAGAGCGAC
rnacentral:rRNA from 1 species